GUAUCCUGCUCAGAGUGAACGCUGGCGGCGUGCUUAACACAUGCAAGUCGAACGGGGACGACCCCCUAAAACGGAGUUUUCGGUACGAACGUAGCGGGGAAGUGCCUAGUGGCGGACGGGUGAGUAACGCGUGAGCAACCUGCCUUGGAUGGGGAAUAACAGAUGGAAACAUCUGCUAAUACCGCAUGAUGCAGUUGGGCCACAUGGCUCUGACUGCCAAAGAUUUAUCGCUCUGAGAUGGGCUCGCGUCUGAUUAGCUAGUUGGCGGGGCAACGGCCCACCAAGGCGACGAUCAGUAGCCGGACUGAGAGGUUGGCCGGCCACAUUGGGACUGAGACACGGCCCAGACUCCUACGGGAGGCAGCAGUGGGGAAUAUUGGGCAAUGGGCGCAAGCCUGACCCAGCAACGCCGUGUGAAGGAAGAAGGCUUUCGGGUUGUAAACUUCUUUUCUCAGGGACGAACAGAUGACGGUACCUGAGGAAUAAGCCACGGCUAACUACGUG
rnacentral:rRNA from 1 species